rnacentral:rRNA from 1 species
GAAAGAGGAUAAGAGCGAACGGAGGAUGCCUAGGCUAUCCGGAGGCGAAGAAGGACGCGGUAAGCUGCGAAAAUGUACGGGGAGUCGCAAACAGACAUUGAUCCGUAUGUGUCCGAAUGGGGCAACCCGGCAGGCUGAAGGCCUGUCACCAUGUAUACAUGGGGCGAACGCGGGGAACUGAAACAUCUCAGUACCCGCAGGAAGAGAAAGAAACAUCGAUAUCCUGAGUAGAGGCGAUCGAAAGGGGCAGAGCCUAAACCGUGCAGUUCAAGGACUGUGCGGGGUUGUAGGAGCGUCCAAAGGAAUACAUCAAGGAACGCGAAGCAGAUGGAAAGCUGCCGCAUAGGGGGUGACACGCCCGUAGCGGUAACGAGGAUGUAUCAGGGACGCCACCUGAGUAGGGCGGGGCACGAGGAAUCCUGUCCGAAUCCGCGGGGACCAUCCCGCAAGGCUAAACACUUCCGGAAGACCGAUAGUGGACCAGUACCGUGAGGGAAAGGUGGGAAGCACCCCGAACAGGGGAGUGAAAUAGAACCUGAAACCGUUCGUUUACAAGCGGUCGGAGCGCGCGAGCGCGACGGCGUGCCUUUUGCAUAAUGAGCCUACGAGUUGCUUCUUCCCGGCGAGGCUAAGCGCCUGAGGCGCGGAGCCGGAGCGAGAGCGAGUCUGAACAGGGCGUUCAGUCGGGAGGAGCAGACGCGAAACCUAGUGAUCUACCCUUGUCCAGGGUGAAGUGGCCGUAACAGGCCAUGGAGGCCCGAACCAGUUUCCGUUGAAAAGGGCUUGGAUGAGAUGAGGGUAGGAGUGAAAGGCCAAUCAAACUGGGAGAUAGCUCGUACUCCCCGAAAUGUCUUUAGGGACAGCCUCGACGGUGUGUAAGUGAGGUAGAGAUACUGAUAGGACGAGGGGGCUUCGCCGCCUGCCGAGUCCUGCCAAACUCCGAAUGCGCUUACAUUAGACGUCGGGAGUGAGUCGGCGGGUGCUAAUAUCCGUCGGCGAGAGGGUAAGAGCCCAGACCUCCGGCCAAGGCCCCCAAGCGCAGUUUAAGUUGAGAGAGAACAAGGUGACACCGCAUAGACAGCUAGGAUGUUAGCUUGGAAGCAGCUAUUCAUUCAAAGAGUGCGUAACAGCUCACUAGUCGAGCGGUGACGCGUGGAUGAUGACCGGGCAUCAAGACUGCCGCCGAAGCCGAGGACGCGCCUUAUGGCGCGUGGUAGGGGAGCAUUGAAACCAGCGGAGAAGGUGGCGCGGCGAGCGCCGCUGGAGCGGUUUGAAAAGAAAAUGUAGGCAUGAGUAACGACAAGGGGAAUGGAAAUUCCCCCGCCGACAACCCAAGGGUUCCUGAACAACGCUAAACGUAUCAGGGUAAGCCGGGAGCUAAGUCGAAGCCGACAGGCGCAGACGAUGCCCAAGCGGUAAAGAUUCCGCUGCCGGCCAUACGGGUCAAUAUGAGACCGAGGAGUGAUGUGUCCGCCAUCUGACGGAAUAGGUGGUUGAACCGGGGUAGGGAGACCGAGCCGGGACAGUACGGGGAGUCCACGGACGACCCGACAGCGAUGCAGAAGCAGACUUGCGAGAAAAUCAUAUUGGCGUCAAGAGUAUGGCCGCCCGUACCGUAAACCGACACAGGUGGGUGAGGAGAGGAUCCUAAGGCGCUCGAGUGAAUCACAGCUAAGGAACUAGGCAAAUUGACCCCGUAACUUCGGGAGAAGGGGACCCACAGCGAUGUGGGCGCAGAGAAAUGGCCCAGGCGACUGUUUACCAAAAACACAUGGCUAUGCGAAAUCGUUAAGAUGACGAAUAUGGCCUGACACCUGCCCGGUGCCGGAAGGUUAAGAGGGGGAGUCACCGCAAGGGAAGCUCUGAAUCGAAGCCCCGGUAAACGGCGGCCGUAACUAUAACGGUCCUAAGGUAGCGAAAUUCCUUGUCGGGU